rnacentral:rRNA from 1 species
GAGUACUGGGCGGCCAAGCGAAAGUGAUAAGUAUCCCACCUGGGGAGUACGUUCGCAAGAAUGAAACUCAAAGGAAUUGACGGGGGCCCGCACAAGCGGUGGAGCAUGUGGUUUAAUUCGAUGAUACGCGAGGAACCUUACCAGGGCUUAAAUGCAUAUUGACAGGGGUAGAGAUACCUUUUCCUUCGGGCAAUUUGCAAGGUGCUGCAUGGUUGUCGUCAGCUCGUGCCGUGAGGUGUCAGGUUAAGUCCUAUAACGAGCGCAACCCCUACCGUUAGUUGCCAGCAUGUCAUGAUGGGGACUCUAACGGGACUGCCGGUGCAAACCGUGAGGAAGGUGGGGAUGACGUCAAAUCAUCACGGCCCUUACGUCCUGGGCCACACACGUGCUACAAUGGCAGGUACAGAGAGCAGCCACCCCGCAAGGGGGAGCGAAUCUAUAAAACCUGUCACAGUUCGGAUCGGGGUCUGCAACUCGACCCCGUGAAGCUGGAAUCGCUAGUAAUCGGAUAUCAGCCAUGAUCCGGUGAAUACGUUCCCGGGCCUUGUACACACCGCCCGUCAAGCCAUGGAAGCCGGGAGUGCCUGAAGUCCGUCACCGCAAGGAGCGGCCUAGGGCAAGAUCGGUAACUAGGGCUAAGUCGUAACAA